UUUUGCAAACUAAAUCCUGUGUAUCUUCAAAGCUUUUUUGCCUGUAAUAAGUCAGAUGCUAAUGUAUCCAGCACUGAUGAUCAUGAGGUUUUUGUAAAGCAGUGCUUGAAAAGAGAUUGUUGACCGUUAGCUAUGAUAUGAGAUGGGCCCCAGAGAAAGAGGUGGCUGGCGAAGGUGUUUUCCUUAGUUAUGGGGUGAGAGUGGGAGAAAAAUAACAUUUUGACUGAGAAUAUAGGAUUUAUAUCUCUAAAUAUUUCAGUAAAUGGUGCUGUCUAGGUUACAUCGUCAGCCUUCUUGCAUAGAUUCUUAACCUUUUAGACUUAGGAACUUAUUUGAGAAUUUGAUGAAUCCUGUGGAUCCCCACCUCAGAAAUACAGACACAUGAAUACACAGAUUUCACUCACAAUUUCAGUGGAUACAUAGAUAUACCAGAAGUCCAUCAGAUUAAGGACUCCUAUUAGCCACAAUUUCAGUGGAUGCAUGUGUGCCAGAAGCCUGACAGAUUAAGGACUCCUAUUUUAUAGUCUCCUUGCUCAAGCUCAUCCACUCAUAGGGCUUUCAUUACAGCCUAUUUGCUGAUUAUCAUAAAUCUGUAUUUCCUAGUGGGUCUCUUUCCUGAGCCCUAGGUUCAUUAUUUCCAACUGUCUUCUGUAUGUGUCCACCGAAAUGCUCUCAAGGACCUCAAAUUCAAAGUCCAAAAUUGAAUUUAUUUUCUAAACUUGUUCCCUGAGAGGCAGAAGCUAGGUGGAAUUGUUCAUUAAACUGAGCAGGAAUCCACCUUGAGAGUGGGGAUGAUGCUGUGCUCAUCUAUACUUGCGGUACCUAUGAGCCAGAGAGCAGAUUUGAGGAACAGAGUCCUCAGGGCACAUGGCUCAAACCCCAAAACAAUUCAAGAACCUGGUUGCUAAAGUUAGAGAGCUGAAAAGCAGAUCCAAUUUAUUCUUUAUAUAGCUGGCUUUGUUUGUUAAUCCAGUUUUAUAGUCUCUGCCUUUUAAAUGGAGAGUUAAUCCACUUACAUUUAAUGUAAUUAUUCAUCUGAUUGGAUUUAAAACUACCAUCUUGCUAUUUGUUUUUUAUUUGGAUCAUCUAUUUUUGUUUCUUUGUUUCUCUUUUCCUGCCUUCUUUUGGAUUAAUCUUUUUUGGUAUUCCAUUUUAUAUAUUAUCUCCUCUUUUUAGCUAUACCUCUUCUUUUUGUUUUGUUUUUGCUUAUAGUGGUUACUGUAAGACAUGGGCUGCACAUUUUUUAUAUUGUAAAAAUCCAGAUAGUAGGCCGGGUGCAGUGGCUCACACCUGUAAUCCCAGCACUUUGGGAGGCUGAGGCAGGUGGAUCACAAGGUCAGGAGAUCGAGACCAUCCUGGCUAACAUGGUGAAACCCCCGUCUCUACUAAAAAUACAAAAAGAAUUAGCUGGGCUUGGUUGUGGGCACCUGUAGUCCCAGCUACUUGGGAGGCUGAGGCAGGAGAAUGGCAUGAACCUGGGAGGUGGAGCUUGCAGUGAGCUGUGAUCACUCCACUGCACUCCAGCCUGGGCAACAGAGCGAGACACCGUCUCAAAAAAAAAAAAAAAUCCAGAUAGUAAAUAUAUUAUGCUUUGUGGGCCACAGUUGGGCUCUUUGUUCUUUACUUGAAGAUCCAGAUUUUCAUCUGGCAUCAUUUCUCUUUAGCCUGAUGCACUUCCUUUAGCAGUUCUUAUAGUAAAGACAUGUUGACUACUAAUGCUCUUAGGUUUUUUUUUUUUUUUUUAAUUUGAAAAUGUGUUUGUUUUUUUUUUAAUUUGAGAAUAUUUUGCUGGACAUAGAGUUCUAGGCUAUUGGUCGUUUUGUAUUUUUUUUAACUUUCAACAUUAAAAAGAUACUAUUUUAUUGGCUUCCCAUGUUUUUGAUGAAAGUCAGCUGACAUUCUUAUGAAUGUAAUUUUUUUUCUUUGACUGCUAUAAGAUUUUUCCCUAUUUUUGGUUUUCAGCAGUUUGAUUAUAAUAUACCAAAUUCGUAGCUCCGUUCUACUGCCAUCUCCUGUGUGGGCCUCAGUUUUGAUUAGUUUUUAUUAGCCUACCUUUGAAUUCAUUGAUCCCUUCUUUUUCUGUGUCCAGUCUGCUGUUAAACCCAUCUGGUGACUUCUUCAUUUCAGAUCAUUUAUUUUUCAGUUCUAGAAUUUCCCUUUCUCUGCUGGAAUUCUUUGCUCUUUACCCAUUCUGUUGAUCUUUUCCUCUAAAUUAUUUAACAUAUUCAUAAUAACUUUUAAAGUCUUCAUCCACGGAUCUCUCCCUGUUGACUUUGUUUCUUUAUUAUGGGUUAUAGGCACACCUUGGAGAGACUGUGGGUUUGGUUCCAGACCACCAAAAUAAAGUGAAUAUCCCAAUAAAGCAAGUCACACAUAAUUUGGUUUCCCAGUACAUAUAAAAGUUAUACACUACAUUGUAGUCUGUUCAGUCUGUAGUAGCAUUGUGUCAAAAGAAAACACAAUGCAUAUGCCUUAAUUUAAAAUACUUUAUUGCUAAAAAAAAAAUGCUAGCAAUCAUCCAAGCCUUCAGCAAGUCAUAAUCAUUUUGCUGGUGGAGACUCUUACCUCCAUGUUGAUGACUGCUAGACCAUUCAGGGUGGUGGUUGCUAAAGAUUGGGGUGACUAUAGCAAUUUGUUUUGUUAUGUAAUAUUCUAUAUCCUUUGCUGUCUUUUCAACAAUAUUCACAGCAUCUUCACCAGGAGUAGAUUCCAUCUCAAGAACCACUUUCUCUGCUCAUUCUUAAGAAGCAACUCAUUCAUUCAAGUUCAAUCAUAAGAUUGUAGCAAUUCAACCACAUCUUCAGGCUCACUUCUAGUUAUAGUUCUUUUGCUAUUUCUACCACAUCUGCAGUUCCUUCCUCCACUGAAGUCUUGAACCUCUCAAUGUCAUCUGUCUGAUUCUUCCAAAUUCCUGUUAACAUUGAAAUUUUGACCUCCUCCCAUGAAUUACGAAUGUUCUUAAUGGCAUCUAAAAUGAUGAACCCUUUCCAGAAGGUUUGCAGUUGACUUUGUGCAAAUCCAUCAGAGGAGUUGGUAUCUAUGGCAGCUAUAGUCUUAAGAAAUGUAUUUCUUAAAUAAUAAUCUUGACAGGGCCAGGUGCAGUGUCUUAAACCUGUAAUCCCAGCACUUUGGGAGGCCAAGGUGGAUGGAUCACCUGAGGUCAGGAGUUCAAGACCAGCCUGGCCAACAUGGCGAAACUCCAUCUCUACUAAAAAUACAAAAAUUAGCUGGGUGUGGUGGCGCAUGUGUGUAAUCCCAGCCACUCAAGAGGCUGAGGCAAGAGAAUCGCUUGAACCGGGGAGGGAGAGGUUGCAGUGAGCCAAGAUUAUGCCACUGCACUCCAGCCUGGGUGACAGAGCGAGACUCCAUCUCAAAAAAAAAAACAAAAAACAAAACCAACUUGACAGUAGAAAUUACUCCUUGAUCCAUGGACUACAGAAUGGAUACUGUGUUAGCAAGCAUGAAAACAGCAUUCAUCUCCUUGUAUAUCU
rnacentral:lncRNA from 1 species